rnacentral:rRNA from 1 species
CCGAACUACGAAUAAUGAAUGGUCCAGGGUAGGCAAAAACUAAUAGCUCUUUUAUGAUUAUGUGAUAGGUGGUGCAUGGCCGUUCUUAGUUCGUGGAGUGAUCUGUCUGCUUAAUUGCGUUUCAAAACAACUGAUACACAGAGUCUUGGCACAGUUCAGUUUAAUGGCGUCGAGUAUCUUUGAUUUCGACAGUAGUCCAACUCGGUUCGCCAGGGUCUCUUUUGAACGCAACGGACGUGAUCGCAACCCUUUGUUGAGUGAUGUCAGCACUCUACGUCUAUCCUAGCUCGUUGAUCGCAAGUGAGAGUUGGGUGGGCAAACUCAGGGGACAGCUUCAACUAUUCUUCUUCAAACUAGAGGAAGGUUGCGGCAAUAACAGGUCUGUGAUGCCCUCAGAUGUUCUAGGCUGCACACGUGCUACAUUGAUCAGCACAAUGCGAUACAUUUCGAAAGGAAACAUCGGUUUUAAGGUAACGUCGAUUGCCUACCGAUAGCACCUGGUCCUCAGUGGACUGGGCAAUCUCUUCUAAAUGCUGGUAAGGUACCCACACUCGAGCUAUUUAAUCACACGCGGGAGGCACACACGGUUCAAAUCUCAUUUGCGACUGUUGCCGCCAUGACGUAUGCAACUUGUCAACUCUUCGUGGGGAUCGUCGAUUGCAACUAUUCGACUCGCCACAACUAGGAAUGCCUCGUACGGGUCUUGGUUCACCAUACCGCCCGGAAUACGUCCCUGCCCUUUGUAC